CCCUGCAUCCAAAAGUGAUCUUGGCUGCCGUGCCCCGGUCAUUGGUAGUGCAGGGAAAGGAUUCGGAAAGACGGGCUCCGAGCUCGGGGCAUCUGGCCUGGAGCUUUCCUACA
ensembl:snoRNA Gm26003 predicted gene, 26003